rnacentral:rRNA from 1 species
CCUACGGGAGGCAGCAGUGGGGAAUUUUGGACAAUGGGCGAAAGCCUGAUCCAGCAAUGCCGCGUGAGUGAAGAAGGCCUUCGGGUUGUAAAGCUCUUUUGUCAGGGAAGAAACGGUGAGGGCUAAUAUCCCUUGCUAAUGACGGUACCUGAAGAAUAAGCACCGGCUAACUACGUGCCAGCAGCCGCGGUAAUACGUAGGGUGCAAGCGUUAAUCGGAAUUACUGGGCGUAAAGCGUGCGCAGGCGGUUUUGUAAGUCUGUCGUGAAAUCCCCGGGCUCAACCUGGGAAUUGCGAUGGAGACUGCAAGGCUAGAAUCUGGCAGAGGGGGGUAGAAUUCCACGUGUAGCAGUGAAAUGCGUAGAGAUGUGGAGGAACACCGAUGGCGAAGGCAGCCCCCUGGGUCAAGAUUGACGCUCAUGCACGAAAGCGUGGGGAGCAAACAGGAUUAGAUACCCUGGUAGUCCACGCCCUAAACGAUGUCUACUAGUUGUCGGGUUUUAAUUAACUUGGUAACGCAGCUAACGCGUGAAGUAGACCGCCUGGGGAGUACGGUCGCAAGNUUAAAACUUCAAAGGAAUUGACGG